CGGCUCCAAUAGCGUAUUCUAAAGCUGUUGCAGUUAAAAAGCUCGCAGUUGGAUUUCUUGUGCGUGCCGUGCGUCAACUUGU
rnacentral:rRNA from 1 species